GUGUCAGCCGCCGCGGUAAUACGUAGGGUGCAAGCGUUAAUCGGAAUUACUGGGCGUAAAGCGUGCGCAGGCGGUUAUAUAAGUCAGAUGUGAAAUCCCCGGGCUCAACCUGGGAACUGCAUUUGAGACUGUAUAGCUAGAGUACGGUAGAGGGGGAUGGAAUUCCGCGUGUAGCAGUGAAAUGCGUAGAUAUGCGGAGGAACACCGAUGGCGAAGGCAAUCCCCUGGACCUGUACUGACGCUCAUGCACGAAAGCGUGGGGAGCAAACAGGAUUAGAUACCCCCGUAGUCC
rnacentral:rRNA from 1 species